UUUUUCUUGGUUGAAUCUGCAUCCUCAAGGCUGCUUUGAAAGUCUCAUCUUCCCUCAUCCUCCUUGCUGCAUUACUGAGCAUCUGACUACGAGUCCCUCUGUGUCACCGCCAUCUGUUAGACCUUCAUUUCACCUUGCCAGUCCUCUUCUUGGUGGCUUUUUUUCAGGUUAGCAAGGCAGGAAUAAUAUCCAUAAUAUCACACACAAGAUAGGUCAAGUGAGUAGUCUAAUAAGGAAAAUACUGGAUGUUCAGCCUUUCCGAAACGUCUCAUCCCCUGAGGCAUUCGUGGAGAUGCUUGGGAGAUUAGAAGCACAGCAAGAACCAUCGCGACCAGGGAGCCCGAUCCCCUGUGCAGGCCACGAUAACUUGCUCCUCGCUGAGCAGAAGCGUCUUCGGAGCCACGCUCCUCUGGGCUGGAUUCCUCCCUGCAUCCGGGAGUGACAUAUGGCUCGGCAUUCAGGGCACAACCAAGGAGCCCUCCUAUAGCAAGCGCAACAUCUGCAGGCUCCUAUGGCCUGUAAUCGAAACCACCCUGGCAGCGCCGCCGACGUUACAUCACGGAAAAUGGCAAGUUUAGAUCCUGGGGCAAGAGACUUCGCUGUGCCAGGAGCUGCUUGCACCAUUCGGGCCUUUAAUUGUUGUGCUUGCAGCCAGCGGUACUCUGCCACCGGUGAUAGCCACCGCGGUAUUUGGAGACCGAUGUUUGGAUGCAACAUUUUGCAUCU